rnacentral:rRNA from 2 species
UGAGGAAUAUUGGUCAAUGGACGGAAGUCUGAACCAGCCAUGCCGCGUGCAGGAAGACGGCCCUACGGGUUGUAAACUGCUUUUAUGUGAGAAUAACCCUAGUCUUGCGAGAUUAGCUGAAGGUAUCACAUGAAUAAGGAUCGGCUAACUCCGUGCCAGCAGCCGCGGUAAUACGGAGGAUUCGAGCGUUAUCCGGAUUUAUUGGGUUUAAAGGGUGCGUAGGCGGGCUAAUAAGUCAGUGGUGAAAUCACUCAGCUUAACUGAGUAACUGCCAUUGAUACUGUUAGUCUAGAAUAUAAAUGGUGCAGGCGGAAUGAAUCAUGUAGAGGUGACAUUCAUAGAUAUGAUUCAGAACACCGAUCGCGAAGGCAGCUUGCAAAGAUAUUAUUGACGCUGAGGCACGAAAGCGUGGGUAGCGAACAGG